AUACAGAGGGUGCAAGCGUUAAUCGGAAUUACUGGGCGUAAAGCGCGCGUAGGCGGUUUGUUAAGUCGGAUGUGAAAUCCCCGGGCUCAACCUGGGAACUGCAUUCGAAACUGGCAUGCUAGAGUAUGGUAGAGGGAAGUGGAAUUCCGGGUGUAGCGGUGAAAUGCGUAGAUAUCCGGAGGAACAUCAGUGGCGAAGGCGGCUUCCUGGACCAAUACUGACGCUGAGGUGCGAAAGCGUGGGGAGCAAACAGGAUUAGAAACCCUAGUAGUCC
rnacentral:rRNA from 1 species